rnacentral:other from 1 species
AAAGGUGAGCGUUUUGAGUGGCAUGGCAUUUCUGAGCCGAUACUGAAAUAUGCCGGAGCCCGGGUUCGUGAUCGUGGUGUGCAAGCCUGCCUCGUAGCAGGAAGCCUAAAGUGAUCCAAUCCAAUUCCACCUAGUGGGAUGUGUGGUUCAGAAUCAGUGCCAACGAAAUGCUCUUUA